rnacentral:rRNA from 1 species
UGGGGAAUAUUGGGCAAUGGGCGCAAGCCUGACCCAGCGACGCCGCGUGGGUGAUGAAGACCUUCGGGUCGUAAAGCUCUGUGGGGAGGGACGAACCGCCGUUGGUUAAUACCCAACGGCAUGACGGUACCGUAAGAAUAAGCACCGGCUAACUACGUGCCAGCAGCCGCGGUAAGACGGAGGGCGCAAGCGUUGUUCGGAAUUACUGGGCGUAAAGCGCGGGCAGGCGGUCUGUUAAGUCGUUUGUGAAAAUCCGGGGCUCAACCCCGGAAAUGCAUACGAUACUGGCAGGCUGGAGACUGGUAGAGGCUAGCGGAAUUCCUGGUGUAGCGGUGGAAUGCGUAGAUAUCAGGAAGAACACCUGUGGCGAAGGCGGCUAGCUGGGCCAGUUCUGACGCUGAUCCGCGAAAGCGUGGGGAGCAAACAGGAUUAGAUACCCCGGUAGUCCCUGAGCGGGCUGGCAAGGCGCAU